rnacentral:rRNA from 1 species
UAGGUCUCAGUUCAGAUUGCAGGCUGNAACCCGCCUGCAUGAAGUCGGAAUUGCUGUAAUCGCGGAUCAGCAUGCCGCGGUGAAUACGUUCCCGGGCCUUGUACACACCGCCCGUCACACCAUGGGAGCCGGUAAUACCCGAAGUCAGUAGUCCAACCUCGUGAGGACGCUGCCGAAGGUAGGAUUGGCGACUGGGGUGAAGUCGUAACAAGGUACC